GGUCAACUAAGCCUGCACAGCUCCAAGCAAAAUAUAAUAGAUAUCUGAGCUUAUAAGUUAUAAAUCCAAGUUGUAUACUCAGGUAAGAUGGUUGCUUGUAACUCCGAUAUAUUAUACUCUAAAGAAUAGUUAGCCAGGAAUGUUUGUUUUUUGGCAAUCUAACCAGAAACCUUUUAAGUCUGACUUCUCAGUUGUCUCUUUUGAUAGUUCUAGUGGAGUUGGAUAAUCCAUACUUUGCACGAUGUACAUAAGAACCUUUCCUACUUGGAGGAACUUGUCCCCAUAUAAGACUGGCAUAUUCUGGAUGAUCAACGAAAGGAUUUCUGUUG
rnacentral:lncRNA from 1 species